AUUGAACGCUGGCGGCAGGCCUAACACAUGCAAGUCGAGCGGAUGAAGGGAGCUUGCUCCUGGAUUCAGCGGCGGACGGGUGAGGAAUGCCUAGGAAUCUGCCUGGUAGUGGGGGAUAACGUCCGGAAACGGGCGCUAAUACCGCAUACGUCCUGAGGGAGAAAGUGGGGGAUCUUCGGACCUCACGCUAUCAGAUGAGCCUAGGUCGGAUUAGCUAGUUGGUGGGGUAAAGGCCUACCAAGGCGACGAUCCGUAACUGGUCUGAGAGGAUGAUCAGUCACACUGGAAUUGGGAAACGGUCCAGACUCCUCGGGGAGGCAGCAGUGGGGAAUAUUGGACAAUGGGCGAAAGCCUGAUCCAGACCUGCCGCGUGUGUGAAGAAGGUCUUCGGAUUGUAAAGCACUUUAAGUUGGGAGGAAGGGCAGUAAGUUAAUACCUUGCUGUUUUGACGUUACCAACAGAAUAAGCACCGGCUAACUUCGUG
rnacentral:rRNA from 1 species